CCUACGGGUGGCAGCAGUGAGGAAUAUUGGUCAAUGGCCGAGAGGCUGAACCAGCCAAGUCGCGUGAGGGAAGACUGCCCUACGGGUUGUAAACCUCUUUUGUAGGGGAGCAAAGAGAGUCACGUGUGACUCAUUGAGAGUACCCGAAGAAAAAGCAUCGGCUAACUCCGUGCCAGCAGCCGCGGUAAUACGGAGGAUGCGAGCGUUAUCCGGAUUUAUUGGGUUUAAAGGGUGCGCAGGCGGAGGUGCAAGUCAGCGGUAAAAUUUCGGGGCUCAACCCCGUACUGCCGUUGAAACUGCAUCCCUUGAGUGCGCGAGAAGUAUGCGGAAUGCGUGGUGUAGCGGUGAAAUGCAUAGAUAUCACGCAGAACUCCGAUUGCGAAGGCAGCAUACCGACGCGCAACUGACGCUGAUGCACGAAAGCGUGGGUAUCGAACAGGAUUAGAUACCCGGGUAGUC
rnacentral:rRNA from 1 species